CCCCUGCUACAGCAACUAUCCUCUACACACAGAACCACCCCGGUGAGGGCGCUGCGUCCUCGGUCCUACUGUGAAGGUAUGGAGCUGGUGGAACUGGAGAAGAGCUGGACGGCCUAGCAACCACUGAACCGUUUAGUGGAGUCAGUCAUGAGGAAAGGUUGAACAACUGAAUCACUGAGUAAACUGAUUCACUGAGUCACUGAGUCAAUGGUAUCUCUGAAUCACUGAAUAAACUAUCACUGAAUCGCUGAGUCACUGAAUAAACUGUAUAACUGAUUCACUGAAUCACUCAGUCAAUGGUA